AACGAACGCUGGCGGCAUGCCUAACACAUGCAAGUCGAACGAGACCUUCGGGUAUAGUGGCGCACGGGUGCGUAACGCGUGGGAACCUGCCCUUAGGUUCGGAAUAACUCCCCGAAAGGGGUGCUAAUACCGGAUAAUGUCUUCGGACCAAAGAUUUAUCGCCUUUGGAUGGGCCCGCGUUGGAUUAGCUAGUUGGUAGGGUAAAAGCCUACCAAGGCGACGAUCCAUAGCUGGUCUGAGAGGAUGAUCAGCCACACUGGGACUGAGACACGGCCCAGACUCCUACGGGAGGCAGCAGUGGGGAAUAUUGGACAAUGGGCGAAAGCCUGAUCCAGCAAUGCCGCGUGAGUGAUGAAGGCCUUAGGGUUGUAAAGCUCUUUUACACGGGAUGAUAAUGACAGUACCGGGAGAAUAAGCUCCGGCUAACUCCGUG
rnacentral:rRNA from 1 species